rnacentral:misc_RNA from 1 species
GAGAUUUUGCCCUGGAAGGACUGAGAAACGGGGAUUGGUCAGACCAGGCUGCCCAGCCCCCCGGUCCCCACCGCCGCCCCCCCCGCCCCACGCAGCGGCUAGGGCGCUUAGCUGAGCCAUUGUCUCGUUCUUUCCUUCCAGCAACUUCGCGGUGUGGUGAACUCUCUGAGGAAAAACGGUUCCAUUCAGAGCCGAUACAUCAGCAUGAGUGUGUGGACAAGCCCACGGAGACUUGUGGAGCUGGCAGGGCAGAGCCUGCUGAAGGAUGAGGCCCUGGCCAUUGCCGCCCUGGAGUUGCUGCCCAGGGAGCUCUUCCCGCCACUCUUCAUGGCAGCCUUUGACGGGAGACACAGCCAGACCCUGAAGGCAAUGGUGCAGGCCUGGCCCUUCACCUGCCUCCCUCUGGGAGUGCUGAUGAAGGGACAACAUCUUCACCUGGAGACCUUCAAAGCUGUGCUUGAUGGACUUGAUGUGCUCCUUGCCCAGGAGGUUCGCCCCAGGAGGUGGAAACUUCAAGUGCUGGAUUUACGGAAGAACUCUCAUCAGGACUUCUGGACUGUAUGGUCUGGAAACAGGGCCAGUCUGUACU